rnacentral:rRNA from 1 species
UGCAACCUAGCGGGCGAGAGAGAGAGAGAGAAAAGGGUUCCAGAGCGGCAGCCCCCCAACCCUCGCCCCCCCUCUCUCUCUCCCCCCUACGCUGGCUGCUGCCGCUGCAGCCUAAAGCAGCGAGCCUUUCCACCUCUCCUCGCCACCCACACACCACCGCCACCACCCCGCCUCGGCCUCGGCUGCGGCGCCCUGCACGUGUCUCCGCCUCGCCGGAGCGGGAGCGGCCGCCGCCGCCGCCGCCAUGUCCGGGCUCUACGGCCAGCAGGGCUUCUCCCCUUCCAGGAACCUGUCCCCCCAGAUUAGAAGCAACCCAGAUGUCGAUAGCCAGUACCUGGCCGAGCUGCUCGCCGAGCACCAGAAGCUGGGGCCUUUCAUGCAGGUGCUGCCCAUAUGCAGCAAGCUGCUGAGCCAAGAGAUUAUGCGGGUGUCAAACUCUGCACACAACCCUGGGUUCAGUGAUUUCGAUAGACAUCGAUUCAGAAGUCCUAGUCCAAUGUCUUCACCAAAUCCAAGAUCCAAUCUCUCUGGCAAUGGGUUCAGUCCUUGGAAUGGACUACACCAAGAGAGAUUAGGCUUUCCUCAAGGAAACAGUAUGGAUUGGCAAGGAGCGCCACCAAGCCCUAGCUCUCAUGUCAUGAAGAAGAUUCUACGCUUGGAGGUCCCAGUUGAUUCUUAUCCAAGUUUCAAUUUUGUGGGACGUAUUCUAGGACCUAGAGGUAAUUCUCUAAAGCGGGUAGAAGCAUCUACUGGUUGUCGUGUUUUCAUCAGAGGAAAGGGUUCCAUCAAAGAUCCUGGGAAGGAGGACAAGCUACGAGGAAAACCAGGCUAUGAGCAUCUGAGCGAACAACUUCAUAUCUUGAUAGAGGCUGAGUUCCCAGCCAAUAUUAUUGAUGCCAGAUUGAGACAUGCACAGGAAAUUCUAGAGGAACUGCUAAAGCCAGUGGAUGAGACACAGGAUAUCUACAAGAGGCAACAGCUCAGGGAGCUGGCGAUGCUAAACUCAACCCUGCGAGAGGACAGCCCUCAUCCGGGGAGCGUCUCCCCAUUCAGCAACGGUGGCAUGAAGCGUGCGAAAACAGGCCAGUAGGGAAGGAGCCACCCCUCAUCGUUACCGGUAUUGUCCAGGUGCCUUAUGUGCCCCCCAAUGGGGACGCCAUGUCUCCGGGCAACGUUUGCCGCGGGCGCACUUGAAGGAAGCGACGCCCUGCAUUUCGCUAGACGAGUCAGUAUGAGUCUGCGGUCUCUCCUGCGGACAAGGAGAAACCGCUGGGACAAUGGAAGUAGUAGUGGUCCUGGGCCCGUGGGUCGGCCCAGCUUUGGUUGCUGUAAGGUCCUAGAACAUUCGCUUUAUUUGUUAAUUGACUGUUAACCCUAGUAAUGUGGUGCUAUGAUGGUAGGUGAUGCCGAUGACAGACAGACUAGAGAGGCCCGAGUAUGUGAGCUUUCAUGUUUUCCUUUUUCACCCCCUGUUAGGCGUCGGAACUUCCUUGUAUAUUAUCCACCCUUCUGCAUUAUGGAGUCGCGGAUAAUAAUAAAAAGGGUAUAAGGAUCAUCAGCUUGUGCCUUGUGGAGUUGUCGUGUCUGGUUCAGACCGUGGAGGGUUCGAAUCGACAAUGUCGAAGUCUGGUUUUUAAUGUCAUCAGUGUUCAUGGAUCUUUGUGGUUUAUAUUGUUGAACUUCAUGAUGAAUUUGUGGCAAUUUUGGGUUGAGGCAUGUUUGUUUGCGUCUGCUUGGC